CCCAAGCUUGAUAGCAGUGGCUCAGCAGUUUACUGCUUUCCUGGGAAAAGCAGGAGAAUCUCAAUUCUAACCCUGCCGCUUCCUAACUGAGUGAGACCUUGGUCAAUUUUUAAAAAGCAAAAUCACAAACGAAAGCACAAAAAUGUUAAAAAUGUGACACUAAACAGACCAUGUAAAGGACACAUGUUGACAAAAUGAGGGUAGAAACAGAAAGGUAGAGUGUUGCCUUCUUUGACCUCAGUUGGAGAUAUACACCUCAGUAGAAUCAAAUUUUUUCUCCUCUCUGUGCUAGUCUGGGAAUGACUGUGAAAGUGUACAGUGAGUAUCGAUUUUGGGGUCACAAAUACACUUAAGCAAGUAGGCAAAUUCGCAAAAUAGAAUCUGCAAAAAAAAAAAAACAAGGAUGAACUAUAUCAGACCCUGAAGUAAGAGACUAUUUUGAAGAAGAAAGACAUGGUAAAAAGAGCACCGAAAGCUUAAAUGAGAUGAGAUAAAGUCAAGUCUGAAAUAGGCUUUUAAUUUUUUAAAAAGGCGAGCCCUUUACUAGCUACAUGACCUUCGGCACAUCAGUUAGUUAAUCAUGUGGGAUUCAUCUAUAAAAGGUGAGAAAUUGACUAAAAAAUUUUAACGUACUUCUGAGAGUCCAGCUAUCUAUAGAUGAUUUUCAGUAACCAAGUUAACUGAUUAACAUCCAGGAUUGUGAGGUGAUUCACCAAUUUCACUCUUCUUCAUAAGGUUUCACAUUUCUAUGAGAAGGAGGUUGAGGAGGAUCUGUCUCCGCUCUCCCCAAAUCCCAGCAACCCAGAAAUUGGCUCCCUAUGGACAGCAAGAACAGAGGCAGAUGCUGCAGCCAUCACUCCAGGGUCCAGAAAUGUGUUGUAAACUGCACAGCUUAAAGGUCUCAUCCGUAUUUUCAUCUAUGGCUUGCUUCUCCAUUUCAUUCACAAAGAUGUUGGGAGAGAUGUAAACACCCGAGUAGACUAUGCACACCACAGUCCCCCUGCUCUACCAAGCUACUUUUCUUCUGGCGAAUGGCUCAACCCCAGCUCUUAUUGCUCAUUGCCAUUUUUCUGUAAGUAUUCACAAACAAUACAAGUCAUUCAUUCUAGAUUUUCAUUAAAACAAAAAACAACACUUUAAAAUAAAAGCUUUCUACUCUC